rnacentral:misc_RNA from 1 species
UCUCCGUUGGUGAACCAGCGGAGGGAUCAUUACCGAGUUUACAACUCCCAAACCCCUAUGUGAACGUUACCAGACUGUUGCCUCGGCGGGAAAUUCAUGCCCCGGGCGCGUCGCAGCCCCGGACCAAGGCGCCCGCCGGAGGACCAACCAAAACUCUUUUGUAUGUCCCUCGCGGACUUUUAUAAUUCUGAACCAUCUCGGCGCCCCCAGCGGGCGUUUCGAAAAUGAAUCAAAACUUUCAACAACGGAUCUCUUGGUUCUG